rnacentral:rRNA from 1 species
GACUCUGCUUGACUAGCUGAGAGGAGGUGCAUGGCCGUCGUCAGUUCGUACUGUGAAGCAUCCUGUUAAGUCAGGCAACGAGCGAGACCCACGCCAACAGUUGCCAGCAUGUCCUCCCGGGAUGAUGGGGACACUGUUGGGACCGCCUCUGCUAAAGAGGAGGAAGGAAUGGGCAACGGUAGGUCAGCAUGCCCCCGAAUUAUCCGGGCUACACGCGGGCUACAAUGGUCAGGACAAUGGGUAUCGACACCGAGAGGUGGAGGCAAUCUCCUAAACCUGUCCUUAGUUCGGAUUGUGGGCUGCAACUCGCCCACAUGAAGCUGGAAUCCGUAGUAAUCGCGUUUCAAAAUAGCGCGGUGAAUAUGUCCCUGCUCCUU